rnacentral:tRNA from 1 species
GCGGGCGUAGCUCAGUUGGUAGAGUACGAGCUUCCCAAGCUCGGUGUCGCGGGUUCGAGCCCCGUCGCCCGCUCCA